GGCGGCGCACAGAGCAGAGAGGCCGCGCAGAGCUGAGCGUCGUCGUCCCGCAGGGUGAGCACAGGCUCCUCUGGAAGUCGCCUCUCCCAACAGGAGUGACAGCACAGCACGGAGCGAUGGUGUUUGGCCACCUACACACAGGAAAAGGCUGUCCAUUCACAUCAUGUCCUCAGCUCACCACAUAAACGAUGGCCAGGUGUGGAUGCUUUCGUAUUCUGCGGGUUGGACUGCCACAAAAUCAUCAGCUGCAGCAUCCAAACCCAACAGGAAGUCCUUGGCUUCCUU